CUGGUAGUCCACACUGUAAACGAUGAUAACUCGCUGUCGGCGAUACACAGCCGGUAGCCAAGCGAAAGCGAUAAGUUAUCCACCUGGGGAGUACGACCGCAAGGUUGAAACUCAAAGGAAUUGACGGGGGCCCGCACAAGCGGAGGAACAUGUGGUUUAAUUCGAUGAUACGCGAGGAACCUUACCCGGGCUCGAACGGUGCAGGAAUAUGUCAGAGAUGGCAUAGCUAGCAAUAGUCUGUAUCGAGGUGCUGCAUGGUUGUCGUCAGCUCGUGCCGUGAGGUGUCGGCUUAAGUGCCAUAACGAGCGCAACCCUUGUCGUUAGUUGCCAUCAGGUAAUGCUGGGAACUCUAGCGAGACUGCCACCGUAAGGUGUGAGGAAGGGGGGGAUGACGUCAAAUCAGCACGGCCCUUACGUCCGGGGCGACACGCGUGUUACAAUGGUAGGUACAGAGGGCAGCUACCCAGCAAUGGGGUGCGAAUCUCAAAAGCCUAUCUCAGUUCGGAUCGGAGUCUGCAGCUCGACUCCGUGAAGUUGGAUUCGCUAGUAAUCGCGCAUCAGCCAUGGCGCGGUGAAUACGUUCCCGGGCCUUGUACACACCGCCCGUCAAGCCAUGGAAGCCGAGGGUGCCUGAAGUUCGUGACCGCAAGGAGCGACCUAGGGCAAAAUUGGUAACUGGGGCUAAGUCGUAACAAGGUAACCAAG
rnacentral:rRNA from 1 species